rnacentral:rRNA from 1 species
GAUGAACGCUAGCGGCAGGCUUAACACAUGCAAGUCGAGGGGUAUAUCAUUUCGGUGAUAGAGACCGGCGCACGGGUGCGUAACGCGUAUGCAAUCUACCUUUUACAGGGGAAUAGCCCAGAGAAAUUUGGAUUAAUGCCCCAUGGUAUUAUGAAAUGGCAUCAUUUUAUAAUUAAAGUUCCAACGGUAAAAGAUGAGCAUGCGUCCCAUUAGUUAGUUGGUAAGGUAACGGCUUACCAAGACGAUGAUGGGUAGGGGUCCUGAGAGGGAGAUCCCCCACACUGGUACUGAGACACGGACCAGACUCCUACGGGAGGCAGCAGUGAGGAAUAUUGGACAAUGGGCGCAAGCCUGAUCCAGCCAUGCCGCGUGCAGGAAGAAGCAUCUAUGGUGUGUAAACUGCUUUUAUACAGGAAGAAACACUCCCUCGUGAGGGAGCUUGACGGUACUGUAAGAAUAAGGACCGGCUAACUCCGUGCCAGCAGCCGACGGUAAAACG